AAGCCAUGCUUAGUACGGCGAGUGAGCGGCAAAGCUCAAAUUUGAAAUCGGCCACCAGGUCGCAGUUGUAAUUUGUAGAUUGUAUCUUGAGAGCGGAUUAAAGUCUGUUGGAACACAGCGCCUUAGAGGGUGACAGCCCCGUAAAAUCUAUUCUCAUUGUAAGAUACUUUCGAAGAGUCGAGUUGUUUGGGAAUGCAGCUCUAAGUGGGAGGUAAAUUCCUUCUAAAGCUAAAUAUUGACGAGAGACCGAUAGCGAACAAGUACUGUGAAGGAAAGAUGAAAAGCACUUUGAAAAGAGAGUGAAAAAGUACGUGAAAUUGUUAAAAGGGAAGGGUAUUGAAUCAGACUUGGUGCUGUUGUUCAACUGUGUUUCGGCAUAGUGUACUCAGCAGUACUAGGCCAAGGUGGGGUGUUUGGGAGUGAAAAAGAAGUUGGAAGGUAACUCUUCGGAGUGUUAUAGCCUACUUUCAUAGCUCCUCAGGCGCCUCAGGACUGCGCUUCGGCAAGGACCUUGGCAUAAUGAUUCUAUACCGCCCGUCUUGAAACCACGGACCA
rnacentral:rRNA from 1 species